AGAGUUUGAUCCUGGCUCAGGAUGAACGCUAGCGGCAGGCUUAACACAUGCAAGUCGAGGGGCAGCGGGGAGUAGCAAUACUCCGCCGGCGACCGGCGCACGGGUGCGUAACGCGUAUGCAACCUACCUUUAACAGGGGCAUAACACUGAGAAAUUGGUACUAAUUCCCCAUAACAUUCGAGAAGGCAUCUUCUUGGGUUAAAAACUCCGGUGGUUAAAGAUGGGCAUGCGUUGUAUUAGCUAGUUGGUGAGGUAACGGCUCACCAAGGCGACGAUACAUAGGGGGACUGAGAGGUUAACCCCCCACAUUGGUACUGAGACACGGACCAAACUCCUACGGGAGGCAGCAGUGAGGAAUAUUGGUCAAUGGACGCAAGUCUGAACCAGCCAUGCCGCGUGCAGGAAGACGGCUCUAUGAGUUGUAAACUGCUUUUGUACUAGGGUAAACGCUCCUACGUGUAGGAGUCUGAAAGUAUAGUACGAAUAAGGAUCGGCUAACUCCGUGCCAGCAGCCGCGGUAAUACGGAGGAUCCAAGCGUUAUCCGGAUUUAUUGGGUUUAAAGGGUGCGUAGGCGGUUUGAUAAGUUAGAGGUGAAAUACCGGGGCUCAACUCCGGAACUGCCUCUAAUACUGUUGAACUAGAGAGUAGUUGCGGUAGGCGGAAUGUAUGGUGUAGCGGUGAAAUGCUUAGAGAUCAUACAGAACACCGAUUGCGAAGGCAGCUUACCAAACUAUAUCUGACGUUGAGGCACGAAAGCGUGGGGAGCAAACAGGAUUAGAUACCCUGGUAGUCCACGCAGUAAACGAUGAUAACUCGUUGUCGGCGAUACACAGUCGGUGACUAAGCGAAAGCGAUAAGUUAUCCACCUGGGGAGUACGUUCGCAAGAAUGAAACUCAAAGGAAUUGACGGGGGCCCGCACAAGCGGAGGAACAUGUG
rnacentral:rRNA from 1 species